CUCAUUUUUCACGGCGGUAUAAAGUCCUCCACCCACAUGGAAUCAGCACAGCCAUAGAUAGAGGGAGUCCAAAUGUCCUUCGUGCAGUAUGACACUAUUAUAAUGCCAUAAAUAAUAGAAAAAGACAGGAUGAAGUAGAUUUUCUUAGACUAAAUGUUUUACAAAACUUAAAACAGAAAAUGGAAUCAACAUUUACAACAUUUCUUCACUUGCUCACAGAUGUUAUCAAUGCUAGAAAAAAGGAGGCUCACCAUGCUAUUUUAAAACCUCUUCAAACAAGGCUUUUCACACUACUUUGCACAUCAAUUCUAGAAAGAUUUUUUUGUUUGACCGCACUGAAUGCAUCUUCCAACAACUUUUUGAGAGCGUUUUCCUUUGUAUACCUUUUUUGAACCAUGUUGUGUUUCUUAAAUGCUUCAGAAGAAGUCAGCUGGACUUCUUCUUUGGUUCUUGAAGACAUUUCAUUUUUUAUCCAUGAGGCUUCCUCAUUUCUACGUGACUGAUGGGGAGUCCCAUCUGUUCCCCAGAAUCACAUGGCUAAUGGCCCGUUAAAGACUGCCUGGGUUAGGGUUAGGAAAGGGAUGACUGUGUGUUGGUACAGAUGGUAAUACUAUGUUAUACACCAAUCAGCCACAACAUUAUGACCACUGACAGGUGAAGUGAAUAACAUUGAUUAUUGGUACUAUGUGGUGUUCUGCUGGAAAACCUUGGAUUCUGGCAUCUGUGUUGGUGAGACUUAGACACCAAAAUAAACCUUGUCCCAGAACAAACACACUCAUUCAUGCAGAUGGAAAUCCUAAAUGUCACGGACCUAAUCCACCACAUUGCAAUAACAUCAAACAAUCAGGAACACAUUGAGGAACAUGACAAUCGCCCAAGAUGUUGAUUUGACCUCCAAACUUCCUAGACCCCAUUCUGAUCAAUCAUCAACAAGAUGCAGUGGAAUAAGUUUGAUUCCCAGAGAAACCACUGCACAACCCAGAGCACCCAAAGGAUCCUCUGCCAACGUCCUGUCCCCAUAGGACACCCUGAGAGGUCUUCUGGUCCAUGCCCAGUGGUUCAGAGCAUUUUUGACGACUUAAGGGGGACCAACACUAUAUUAGGCAGGCGGUCAUAAUGUUACACCUGAUUGGUCCCAUAGUGCGUAGUGUAGCGCUCUAACUGCACUACAAUAUUAUUCUGCUAUAGGGGAAGAAAAGUCUCUACCAAUCAAAGUCAUUGUGGGCGGGGUUAAGUGGAGGAUGCAGCUUAAGGUGUUCACUCAAAAAAGCCAAAUCUGGAAUUGUGAUGGAACAUUUACAUGCAGGGAAACCAGCAUAGUGAUUAAUCUUUUUCAGUGCUGCAACUUGUUGUUGUUUCCUGAGGUCAACAAAACUGUAAUCCAAUGGUAGCAUAAGACAGCAGAAUGCCGACUGACAUUAUCAGCCAAUGACAGGCUUAUAUCCGCAGACUGCAUUCAGUAAGUCGGACUCAGUUCUCUUUGACUGAAGUACUUGCCAUGACCCGGCUGACUAAGAAUCUAAACAGAUACAUGCCGCAUUUUUGAAAAAACAGAUUACGUGUUCCAUUGUCCUCUCAGUCUCUUUUGUUGUUGAAUUUUUCUCAUGUGACUGUUAGUCACAGAUGAGUCAGUCAUGGCUUUUUUUGUCGUGGGCAGAUUUUUUAUUUUUUUUUAACACAUUCAGGUGCAAAUGGUUUAUUUUUGGUGAUUUAAAAAAAAAAAAAGAGACGUAGAAUAAAAAUAAUUUUAAAGAAAUGUGACAACUUUGAGCUUGAAUUUGGUUCAUUUUUCUGUCUUAAACCUGCCACAUGUAUUUUCAAGGACUGUCAUGAAGUUGAAAAUCUGACGGUCUGCUCUUGGUUUUGAUAAAUGGUGUCAUUUUCUUGCUUUUUUAAAAGGUUUUGGGGCUCAGAGGCUUAGGCUAACUGUUUUCAGUCUUUGUGCAAAGCUAACUUGAUCCCAUUUCCAGUUUCAUGUUUACCGCACACGUCUAUCCUUCUACAAGAAAGUGAAUAAAUGUUGAAAAUAAGUCAUUCACUGUUGCAACUAAUGAUACCUCUGAAAAAAAUAGAGCAGCAAUGGAGAAGAGCUGCUCAUCGAGUGUAAUUUUCUUGAAAACAUAGUUAUCUGUCAGUGGAAUAACCUGUUAAAUGUUGAACUGCGCAGUGGAGAAAAUGAAUUAUGACCACAAUCACUUUAUCACUAACCUUAUUAAUAAUCUGCUGUAAGAACAACUGUAUUCACACCCAUUCAUCAUUUCAUAGACAUAGUUUUGGCUGAAGCGGACACAUUUUCAAAGUGAGUUAUGAUGACGGAGAUCAGCAGGAAUUACAGACUGAAGGUGGCUGAUUGCUUUGACAAAGACAGAGCCUAAAAGAGAAAAAUGUCAAGAAAACACAAAGUAAGAGGCAGAAUUCAUUUUUGGUGGUAAUUAGAGUAGGUUGUGCAGCAGAAACUAAACGUACUUAUAAGUUUUUUCUGCCUCUGAUGGAAGAUGGAAAGUGACUGUAGAGUGGAAUGAUGUUCACAUCUACAUGGAAACACAAUGACAUGUAAAAAACCACUCUGAGGUUGUGAUAUCUGCCAGCCUGCCGUGUGACUUUCACUUUGUGUUUUUAAAUGCUGUGAUAACGCUCAUUUUUCUCACCACUAACAGCAAAGAAUUUCUCCAUUUUGUACUAUUUUAGACUGAACAUGUGACUGCAUACUGUGAAAUGUUACAUACAGAUACUGUGUAAAUACUGUAAAAAAAAAACAACAAAAAAAUCACUGUAAUAUAUUUUACAGAUGACAUUUGUUGGAAAAAAAAGAAUAGUUUAAGAGCUUUACGGAUCGUUACGAAGGACCAAAUGAAGAAUUUGGUGCAGUGAACUAAAUUUAAUCUUAUUGCUGGUGACAUAAUUACAUGAAGUUUGGGUGUUUAAUCAUGUUUUCAUGCAAACCUGUUUAGCUUAUUUUCCUGUUUCCUUCCUGGUUUCAGAAUCUGAUAGGGUCAAUCAGGGCUGGAUGCAAAUUUCCGCUCUAAAUAUUUAAUUACUUACACUUUUUAUACUAAUAUUAACUGAAUAUUAACUAACAUCAUCCUCUAAAAUGUAAAGUUCUGAGAGAAAAAGGGAAAAAAUGUCAAGUUACAAUAACUGAAACUGCAUUUAUUAGAUUUUCUUUUCUUUUUUUUCUUUCUUUUUUUGUCAAAAAACCUGGAUUUCACUAAACAGUGUGUUUGGACCCAACAUCAGCAACACUCAAUAAAACAGUUGUUUACAUGUUUGCCUGCUGCGUCUGUCUGUUGUUGCUAUUUUUUGCUAUUGUAUAUUUAUGUGGCAGAAGAAAGACUUUAUUCACAUCUUACGAUUCAGAUCAGAGCUCCUUUCUUUGUGUCUGUCAAAACAGGAAUAGGAAGCCACCAGAUUCAGACAUUUUUUCCUGUUUAAACGGCUGUGAGCUGAACAGAUCUGCAGCAUCCAACCACAAAUCUCACUAAAUCUGUCUCUUCAGUUUGAGCUUUUACAACUCCAGCCUUGAUUAGGAAUGCUUGAUAAUUUUAUCACUGAGAGUUAUCUGAGCUUGUGUGAAACAUUAGAAGGGGGUUUGAUGCAUGAGCAGCUCUUGUCUUCAGGGUUUGAAGAAUUGUUAGCGGCUGUAAGUUUGCUUGAACAUCACAGCCGCCGUCAGUGAAGAAGAAUCAGCC
ensembl:lncRNA